rnacentral:rRNA from 1 species
UACGUAGGGUGCGAGCGUUAAUCGGAAUUACUGGGCGUAAAGGGCGCGUAGGCGGCCACCUCAAGUCAGUUGUGAAAUCUCUGGGCUUAACCCAGAACGGUCAGCUGAUACUGCGGGGCUAGAGUGCAGAAGGGGCAACUGGAAUUCCGGGUGUAGCGGUGGAAUGCGUAGAGAUCCGGAGGAAGACCGGUGGCGAAGGCGGCCUGCUGGGCAGUUACUGACACUGAGGCGCGACAGCGUGGGGAGCAAACAGG